rnacentral:rRNA from 1 species
UGGCGAACGGGUGAGUAACGCGUGAGGAACCCGCCUCAAAGAGGGGGACAACAGUUGGAAACGACUGCUAAUACCGCAUAAGCCCACGGGUCGGCAUCGACCUGAGGGAGAAGGAGCAAUCCGCUUUGAGAUGGCCUCGCGUCCGAUUAGCUAGUUGGUGAGGUAACGGCCCACCAAGGCGACGAUCGGUAGCCGGACUGAGAGGUUGAACGGCCACAUUGGGACUGAGACACGGCCCAG